UACGUAGGGUGCAAGCGUUGUCCGGAAUUAUUGGGCGUAAAGAGCUCGUAGGCGGUCUGUCGCGUCGGGUGUGAAAAUCCAGGGCUUAACCCUGGACCUGCAUUCGAUACGGGCAGACUAGAGUUCGGUAGGGGAGACUGGAAUUCCUGGUGUAGCGGUGAAUGCGUAGAUAUCUGGAGGAACACUGGUGGCGAAGGCGGCAUCCUGGACCGGCAUUGACGCUGAGGCGCGAAAGCUAGGGGAGCAAACGGG
rnacentral:rRNA from 1 species